rnacentral:rRNA from 1 species
AUUGAACGCUGCGGCAGGCUUAACACAUGCAAGUCGAGCGAGCGGCGGCCGGGUGCGUAAUACUUAGGAAUCUGCCUCUUAGUGGGGGACAACAUAUAGAAAGGGAUGCUAAUACCGCAUACUAAUCGAUGAGUCUAAGGCGGGUUAGCGAGUUGGUGGGGUAAAGGCCUACCAAGGCGAAGAUCUGUAGCGGGUCUGAGAGGAUGAUCCGCCACACUGGGAAGUGUACACGGCCCAGACUCAUACGGGAGGCAGCAGGGGGGAAUAUUGGUCAAUGGGUGGAAGUCUGACUGAGCCAUGCCGCGUGUGUGAAGAAGGCCUUAUGGUUGUAAAGCACUUUAAACGAGGAGGCGUUACUCGCAGAAUAAGCACCGGCUAACUCUGUGCCAGCAGCCGCGGUAAUAC